rnacentral:rRNA from 1 species
UACGUAGGGGGCAAGCGUUGUCCGGAUUUAUUGGGCGUAAAGAGCUCGUAGGUGGUUUGGUAAGUCGGAUGUGAAAACUCUGGGCUCAACCCAGAGCCUGCAUCCGAAACUGGCGAGCUAGAGUUCUGGAGGGGGUAGCGGAAUUCCUGGUGUAGCGGUGAAAUGCGUAGAUAUCAGGAGGAACACCGGUGGCGAAGGCGGCUACCUGGACAGAAACUGACGCUGAGGCGCGAAGGCCAGGGGAGCAAACGGG